rnacentral:rRNA from 1 species
GUUUAUUUUACCUUGUUGCUUCGGCGGGCCCGCCUUAACUGGCCGCCGGGGGGCUUACGCCCCCGGGCCCGCGCCCGCCGAAGACACCCUCGAACUCUGUCUGAAGAUUGUAGUCUGAGUGAAAAUAUAAAUUAUUUAAAACUUUCAACAACGGAUCUCUUGGUUCCGGCAUCGAUGAAGAACGCAGCGAAAUGCGAUACGUAAUGUGAAUUGCAAAUUCAGUGAAUCAUCGAGUCUUUGAACGCACAUUGCGCCCCCUGGUAUUCCGGGGGGCAUGCCUGUCCGAGCGUCAUUGCUGCCCUCAAGCACGGCUUGUGUGUUGGGCCCCGUCCUCCGAUCCCGGGGGACGGGCCCGAAAGGCAGCGGCGGCACCGCGUCCGGUCCUCGAGCGUAUGGGGCUUUGUCACCCGCUCUGUAGGCCCGGCCGGCGCUUGCCGAUCAACCCAAAUUUUUAUCCAGGUUGACCUCGGAUCAGGUAGGGAUACCCGCUGAACUUAAGCAUAUCA